rnacentral:rRNA from 1 species
GACGAACGCUGGCGGCGUGCUUAACACAUGCAAGUCGAACGGAAAGGCCCUGCUUUUGUGUGGUUCUCGAGUGGCGAACGGGUGAGUAACACGUGAGUAUCCUGCCCUUGACUUUGGGAUAACUUCAGGAAACUGGGGCUAAUACCGGAUAGGAGCUCCUGCUGCAUGGUGGUGGUUGGAAAGUUUCGGCGGUUGGGGAUGGACUCGCGGCUUAUCAGCUUGUUGGUGGGGUAGUGGCUUACCAAGGCUUUGACGGGUAGCCGGCCUGAGAGGGUGAACGGCCACAUUGGGACUGAGAUACGGCCCAGACUCCUACGGGAGGCAGCAGUGGGGAAUAUUGCACAAUGGGCGGAAGCCUGAUGCAGCAACGCCGCGUGCGGGAUGACGGCCUUCGGGUUGUAAACCGCUUUCGCCUGUGACGAAGCGUGAGUGACGGUAAUGGGUAAAGAAGCACCGGCUAACUACGUG